GACGAACGCUGGCGGCGUGCCUAAUACAUGCAAGUAGAACGCAGAAGCCGUAGCUUUCUUCUCUGGAUGAGUGGCGAACGGGUGAGUAACGCGUAAGUAACCUGCCUGUUAGCGGGGGAUAACUAUUGGAAACGAUAGCUAAUACCGCAUAAUAGUAGAUGUCGCAUGACAUUUGCUGAAAAGGUUCAAUUGCAUCACUACCAGUUGCAGCUGCGUUGUAUGAGCUAGUGGGUGUGGUAACGGCUCACGAAGGCAACGAGACAUAGCGGACCUGAGAGGGGGGUUAGCCAGCCUGAGACUGUGACACGGCACAGACUGCCUCGGGAGGGGGCCGUAGGGCAACGUGGGCCAUGGGUGGAAGUCUGUCCGCGAUGGGCCGAGUGCGUGUAGAAGGUUUUCGGGUCGUAAAGGUCUGUUGUAGGGGAAGAAAGCGCGUGCGCGUGGAACGUUCCCACUGUGACGGUAUCUUACCAGAAAGCGACGGCUAACUACGUG
rnacentral:rRNA from 1 species